rnacentral:rRNA from 1 species
CACGCAGGCGGUCUGUUAAGUCAGAUGUGAAAUCCCCGGGCUUAACCUGGGAACUGCAUUUGAAACUGGCAGGCUUGAGUCUCGUAGAGGGGGGUAGAAUUCCAGGUGUAGCGGUGAAAUGCGUAGAGAUCUGGAGGAAUACCGGUGGCGCAGGCGACUUUCUGGACUGUAACUGACGCUGAGGCGCGAAAGCGUGGGGAGCAAACAGGAUUAGAUACCCUCGUA